rnacentral:rRNA from 1 species
GACUGCCGGUGACAAACCGAAGGAAGGGGGGGAAGACGUCAAAUCCUCAUGGCCCUUAUCGGUAGGGCUUCCCCCCUCAUUCAAUGGGGGGUACCAAGGGUUGCCAACCCACGAGGGGGAGCCAAUUCCAAAAAACCCAUCUUAGUUCGGAUUGCACUCUGCAACUCGACUGCAUGAAGUCGGAAUCGCUAGUAAUCGCGGAUCAGCAUGCCGCGGUGAAUACGUUCCCGGGUCUUGUACACACCGCCCGUCACACCAUG